rnacentral:lncRNA from 1 species
AUGAUUAUGAAUGUUCCGAGUGGACUCCUUGCCGCCCACCUGGCUUAAGGACUGUAAGGCACUUCGGAAAUCAAAUUUCAGGAAAGAAGAUUGGUUUGAGAAACAAUGAACGAGGAGAAAUCUUCUCUUUGCAGAGCUGCUGUGUGUCAAAGUUUAUCCUCAUUAUAUUAUGACUCUUUUGAAGGCCCACUGAGAUGAGUUUCUGCUAAUUCUCUUACAUAAAGUAGGAUGUGGAGGUCUCCGAUUCCUGCUCAGGGCCGGGAAUGGCCGUGUUCUGCAGGCUGGUGCCCUGCUGGAGCUCCAGUGGACAGAGAAGUGGAGAAGGUUCUAUAGGAGAGAAAUUGCUCGGCAAAGACACAGAGACUCCCGAGGUGCCGGACAAUAGUCGAAGAGCGAGAACACGGAGGAAUGUGUUCGUAGAGAACACCCGUGUAGGGGCGCCUGGGUGGCUUAGCCGGCUUUGACCAGGAGAGAAUAACUACAAGGAACUACUAAUUUACAAAAUGUGCAGAUGACCUAGUUUAUUCAUAACCAUAGGAGUUUUAAUUUAUUAAGCAACAAUUUAAUAUAAACAGUGCCUAGUAAUUCUAGUUCGCUGUGUGUUUCGUGGGAGAAUAAUGUAUUGCUU